rnacentral:rRNA from 1 species
CCUACGGGUGGCAGCAGUCGAGAAUCAUGCACAAUGGGGGAAACCCUGAUGGGGCGACGCCGCGUGGGGGAAUGAAGGUCUGCGGAUUGUAAACCCCUGUCAUGUGGGAGCAAAUUAAAAAGAUAGUACCACAAGAGGAAGAGACGGCUAACUCUGUGCCAGCAGCCGCGGUAAUACAGAGGUCUCAAGCGUUGUUCGGAAUCACUGGGCGUAAAGGGUGCGUAGGCUGUUGCGUAAGUCGUGUGUGAAAGGCGCGGGCUCAACCCGCGGACGGCACUUGAUACUGCGAGACCAGAGUAAUGGAGGGGGAACCGGAAUUCUCGGUGUAGCAGUGAAAUGCGUAGAUAUCGGGAGGAACACUCGUGGCGAACGCGGGUUCCUGGACAUUAACUGACGCUGAGGCACGAAGGCCAGGGGAGCGAAAGGGAUUAGAUACCCGUGUAGUC